CAGUCAUCACACAUACAAGUAGAGCGGUAGCAGAAAGUAGCUUAUUAGUUUUCUAACGAGCGGCGGACGAGUAAUUAAUACUAAUGUACAUACUAUGAGGGGGGGGACACACAGUUGGAAAGUAUUAAUUAAUGCAUGCAUACAUGUCUGGAGAACCAAAGCAGUUUUCGGCUCUCGCUUUUAGAUGAGCCCAAGUGGGAUUAGCUAGAUGGUGAGGUAAAGGCUCACCAAGGCGACGAUCCCUAGCUGGUUUGAGAGGAUGAUCAGCCACACUGGGACUGAGACACGGCCCAGACUCCUACGGGAGGCAGCAGUGGGGAAUAUUGCACAAUGGGGGCAACCCUGAUCCAGCCAUGCCGCGUGUGUGAAGAAGGCCUUCGGGUUGUAAAGCACUUUCAGCCAGGAGGAAAGCUCCUCGGUUAAUACCCGUGAGCU
rnacentral:rRNA from 1 species